GACCAGCAGAGCUUGCCUGCAGUCUGGAGAGAUGCAGCCCUGGACAAGGAGAUGCAGCCAGGAGGGCAGUGCAUGCUCGUCGUGUGAUUUCUAUGGUGACUUCGUUAUAGAACUCAGCCCCAGCCUGUGUGCAGUGCAGACAGUAAUUCUGAGAUGAGACAAAGCCUGAAAGAACUGCAUUGUAACUGCUGAAAAGAAGCUGUUUCCAUCAGCCACCUCAUCAGAAAGCUUGGCAAUGUGGAAGCAGAAAGGUCUCUUCUGGUUACUGACCUCCACUGUGUUCUCUUCAUUCAGUGCCAUCAGUAGGCACUACCUGGCCCUGCUCCAGCCUCCAAGAAAGCCCCAGCUAACCAAACAGCUGCUGACAAAACCCACGCUCCAUAACGUGUCUCUACUGUGCACCUCAAUAUCUGUGUUUCUUCUUCCUCUAAACCAAAAAGGUAGCUGAUGGCAAAAAUAUAUUCA
rnacentral:lncRNA from 1 species